CGCGGCCUAUCAGCUUGUUGGUGGGGUGAUGGCCUACCAAGGCGACGACGGGUAGCCGGCCUGAGAGGGCGACCGGCCACACUGGGACUGAGACACGGCCCAGACUCCUACGGGAGGCAGCAGUGGGGAAUAUUGCGCAAUGGGCGGAAGCCUGACGCAGCGACGCCGCGUGGGGGAUGAAGGCCUUCGGGUUGUAAACCUCUUUCAGCUCCGAAGAAGCGCGAGUGACGGUAGGAGCAGAAGAAGCACCGGCUAACUACGUGCCAGCAGCCGCGGUAAUACGUAGGGUGCAAGCGUUGUCCGGAAUUAUUGGGCGUAAAGAGCUCGUAGGCGGUCUGUCGCGUCUGCUGUGAAAACUCGAGGCUUAACCUCGGGCUUGCAGUGGGUACGGGCAGACUAGAGUGCGGUAGGGGAGACUGGAAUUCCUGGUGUAGCGGUGAAAUGCGCAGAUAUCAGGAGGAACACCGGUGGCGAAGGCGGGUCUCUGGGCCGUAACUGACGCUGAGGAGCGAAAGCAUGGGUAGCGAACAGGAUUAGAUACCCUGGUAGUCCAUGCCGUAAACGUUGGGCGCUAGGUGUGGGGUCCAUUCCACGGAUUCCGUGCCGCAGCAAACGCAUUAAGCGCCCCGCCUGGGGAGUACGG
rnacentral:rRNA from 1 species